CUUUGUUUGGAGACAGUCUCUUUCUGCCACCCAGGCUGGAGUGCAAUGGUGCAAUCUUGGAUCACUGUAACCGCUGCCUCCAGGGUUCAAACGAUUCUCCUGCCUCAGCUUCCCAGGUAGCUGGGAUUACAGGCGUCUGCCACCACGCCCAGCUAAUUUUUGUAUUUUUAGUAGAGACGGUUUCACCACGUUUGCCAAGCUGGUCCCGAACUCCUGACCUCAGGGGUCCAUUGUAGGGGGAGAAAGAAAUAUUCAGGAUUUAAAGCAGCUGCUCUAAAGGCUACAUUCACUGCAAUGUUGAGAAGGGAGCCUCUUAAACAGAAUCUUACCUGUAAAACUCAGGAGCCGAGAAGCUUUAAGAACAGUGAGGUUGAAGGGCACAGGCUCUUGGUCCUUGGCAGCGAUAUUAGGAGGCGUGCCUAGGGAACCUCGGAUUCCGGGGAGCUGGACGUGAAACUCUGUGGUGGAAUAGAAAUCCUCAGGGCAUGAGCUAUACCUAAAACGUAAUGGUAUUAAGAAUUCUGGUUCAGCCGUCUGUAUAUCUCCCCAGAUACCUGAAACUGACCACCUGAGUACGUUUUCCCAUUGCUGAGCUGUUUCCCUGAUAUCUGGCCAUGCAACGGAGAUCAAGAGGGAUAAAUACUGGACUUAUUCUACUCCUUUCUCAAAUCUUCCAUGUUGGGAUCAACAAUAUUCCACCUGUCACCCUAGCAACUUUGGCCCUCAACAUCUGGUUCUUCUUGAACCCUCAGAAGCCACUGUAUAGCUCCUGCCUUA
rnacentral:lncRNA from 1 species